GACGGAGGGUGCAAGCGUUGUUCGGAAUUACUGGGCGUAAAGGGCGCGUAGGCGGUCUGUUAAGUUCGGUGUGAAAGCCCCCGGCUCACCUGGGGAACUGCGCCGGAAACCGACAGACUCGAGUACCGGAGAGGAGGGUGGAAUUCCUGGUGUAGCGGUGAAAUGCGUAGAUAUCAGGAGGAACACCGGUGGCGAAGGCGGCCCUCUGGACGGAUACUGACGCUGAGGCACGAAAGCGUGGGGAGCAAACAGG
rnacentral:rRNA from 1 species